rnacentral:lncRNA from 1 species
AUAUAGAAAACUAUUAUAAAUUUGUUCAUUUUAUUAUGACAUACAUAAUAUAUGUGUGACAGACUUUUCUAUUAAUUGCCAUUUUUAAGGUUUAGGUUUUUUGGAUUUCUUACAUAAAUAUUGUGUCAUUCUAGUAAUGACCAAAAACAGAGGGUUAAUUCAGUUAUUUUUGGCCAAAUUUGUGUCAAAGUAGUUAAAUUUCACUUAAUUAUUAGAGUUCGUAUGGUUAUUUUUUUUUGUGCUUUUGUACAUGCAGAAUCUCUUUAGAAAUUUGUUUCCAGAUUAACGUAUUUACCAACAAAGCUAAAACGGAAGAAAUUUCAGUUGCUUCUUGGCAUGAGUAUUGCAAAGAAGGCUUG